rnacentral:misc_RNA from 1 species
GAUAAGAACGCAGCGAAAUGCGAUAAGUAAUGUGAAUUGCAGAAUUCAGUGAAUCAUCGAAUCUUUGAACGCACAUUGCGCCCGCCAGUAUUCUGGCGGGCAUGCCUGUUCGAGCGUCAUUACAACCCUCAGGCCCCCGGGCCUGGCGUUGGGGAUCGGCGGAGCCCCCCGUGGGCACACGCCGUCCCCCAAAUGUAGUGGCGGUCCCGCCGCAGCUUCCAUCGCGUAGUAGCUAACACCUCGCGACUGGAGAGCGGCGCGGCCACGCCGUAAAACACCCAACUCUUCUGAAGUUGACCUCGAAUCAGGUAGGAAUACCCGCUGAACUUAAGCAUAUCAAUAAGCGGAGGA